UUUUUUUUGUUCUUUUUUUCGGAGCUGGGGACCGAACCCAGGGCCUUGCGCUUCCUAGGCAAGCGCUCUACCACUGAGCUAAAUCCCCAAGUCCCUGAAUCUCCUCUUAUGCAGGGGCAUGGCCUAUCUUUCAGGCAGCAGCCAAGAGUUACGGAAUCAUUUUCCAUGAAGUCCCUUAAGACUCUGCAUAUGGAAAGCAAGCCACAGGUUCUAGCAAUAUUAGUACCAUUGAGAGCAGUGCCAGGCCCCAAGAAUAGGACUGGCUGAAGGACGCUGUCUUCCAUCUGUUCAGGUCCCUUCAAGGGUAUAGUGCUACUUCCUGGGUAGCCAAGCUUGUGCUGAGCACUGUGGAUGUAGCAAAACAAGAGACAGACAAUUCUCGGGACUCAUGGUCAGAUGCUGGCAAAGACUAUUCCAGCUGCUUCAGUGGUGAGACUACUGUUUGAGCCCAUCUCAACAAUGACACCAACUUUCAGUAGUGUCGGGCUAACCUUUCAGUCAUCAGGGGCUACCCAAAAAUGAGGUAUCCGCUCUCUACCAGUGCUGUUCAAAGUAUUUUAUAUUCUGCCCUCCCCCUUCUUCUAUCAUCUGACAGUCACCUAAGAGCAGCCAUCAAGCUCUCAACUCUCUGGUUGUCUUUACACGAAGACCAUUUACACCUGUAGCUUCAAGAAUCGGAGUGUUAUUUUUUU
rnacentral:lncRNA from 1 species